rnacentral:rRNA from 1 species
AUGUGGUUUCACCUUUCACCAGGGUUCGUUGGGCCUAAUGUGGCCCAUCGUCUCCAGGGCCCAGGGCCCAUGACCGAACUGAAGAAGCCUACUGGAAAGAGUCGCCUAGACUCUGCAAAACAAAUCCCUAAAAACGCAUCCUGUCUUUGCACAAAAGCAGUUUUUCACUGUGCAGUAUGUGUAAGGCGCAAAAAAUGGUGGAACCCAGUCCAUCUCAAACUAGACCAAAUCAUUGAUGCGCUUACAGUUUUUUUGUCUGCAAAAAGGUCGAGCAUUCAUUCUCAGAGCAGAGAGUUAAAGGGAACCAUCAAGCAUAGCAUGACGACGGUCACAGAUAAGAUACCCAUAUCACCACGCCCUGGAAACCACUUUGCGAUCCACUCCAAGGGGGAGGAGCUAGCAGAAAAUUAG